GCCUGGCUGGCUCGGUCGGUAGAGCACGAGACUCUUGAUCUUGGGGUUGUGGGUUCAAGCCCCACGCUGGGCC